GCGGCUGCAGUAACUUACACUCCAACAGACCCCUCCAGGCUGGCUGAGAGACACAGAAGAACUACGAGCAACCCUGAAGAAGCUUCAGGGAAGCAGCCACCAAUCAGCUGUUCCUGCUGUGCAAAUUAUUUGGAAUCUCCUGACAGUGAUCGUUGCUUGUGGAUAAUGAGGUUGAAGAACUGGAGCAGACAACCAUGGCGAUCUUUAUCACUGGGAAAGAGGAUCCUCUCCAUCCACCUAAAGACAUUAAAAUUGUUGUCGAAGGAAAAGAGGUCCUGAACGAGUUGCCAUCGGUUGCUGGGCUCAUAUAUACACUAAACCUAAAAUAUCCAAAAAGGCUACAGUUCACCUUUGAAUUUGUGCAAAAGGUCCUGAUGGAGCUUGAUGGAAUAAAGAUGACCCCAAAAGUCACUAGACUGACCACCCAGCUGUACAGGGAUUAAUUGUAUAAUUGCAUAAUUGUUACAUUUUAUUGUGUUUUUAC